rnacentral:rRNA from 1 species
CAAAGAACUUUGAAGAGAGAGUUCAAGAGAACGUGAAAUCCUAGCGGUUGAAGCGGAGAGAGUUGACGUAGCUCGGCGGCUAAGCUUAGUGUUGUCUUUUCGGAGGCUUCGCUUUGUGGUGUCCGCUUAUAGCUGCGCCGGUAGCGUUGUUCGAGCUUUCUGACCUGGUUAGUGUUGCCCACUUCGGUGGUGUCUUGCUGCCGGCGAGGUCUGCCGUAUUAACGUUUAAUUUGCCUUACGGCAAGUACCGGUGUGAAGGUCAGCCACCUUUCCGACCCGUCUUGAAACACGGACCGAGGAGUGUAACUUGUACGCGAGUCAGAGGGUGGAAAACCCUACGGCGCAAUGAAAGUAAAGGUCGGUUAACCGGCUGACAUGGGAUCCGUGCUUCGGCGCGGCGCACCAUGGCCCUGUCUUGAGAGCUUGCUCUUGGGCAGAGGUAGAGCGUACAGGUUGCGACCCGAAAGAUGGUGAACUAUACUUGAGCAGGACGAAGCCAGAGGAAACUCUGGUGGAAGUCCGUAUCGGUUCUGACGUGCAAAUCGAUCGAUAGACUUGAGUAUAGGGGCGAAAGACUAAUCGAACCAUC